UCCGGCCGCUACCCGCCCCGCUGCCUGCCCCCCGCCCCCCCACCGGCCGCUCGGCGGCGCCCGCCCCCGGCAGCGGCACCUGCCGCCGCCCGGGGCCGGCGCGGAGCCCCUCGGGGCCGGCGGCCGCCCCCGGCGCGGCAACACGUGCCCGCGCCCCUCGGCGAGGGGCAGCCCCCGCCGGCCGGCCGGCCGGGGCUCUCCGCGCCUCGCCCGCAGACCGGGCUCACCGGCGCCGGGGCCCGCCCCGCCGCGCGGGCCGCCCGGCAGGAGACGCGGGGCGGCGCGUUGGCCCAAGCGCCCAGAAGCCCGCCCGCGAGCAUAGGUCUUCUGACUGAAAGAUCUGGAAUUGAAGAAAACGAGCAAGACAAAAGGAAGAUCAGACCGUCUGCGAAAGGGUACAAUCAGACUUUCUUCUAUAGCGCGACACAGCUGCACGACACCCAAAAUGGCAGCCCCAGCCGGUUCCAGAAAAACACGGGUUGUGCUCCACGUACAGCAAAACCAUCAGUUACAUUUAUCCGAAGAUAAAGCAGACGUGACGAGGCUUAUUCUCCAUAGUUGAGUGCGUUCUAUGAAUUUAUUGCUAUGCGUGUUUUGCUAUAGACUGCAGUAGCAAAGCUGUUAACUGACGUAAAUGUGUUUCGGUCCCUGUGGUUUAUUCUUGUAAAGGGGGAAGUUGUAUUGGCACCAUCUCCUUUGUUACGUCCACAGCUCUGUCUGUAUUAAGAAAGCACCUCCGUAACCAAAUAUUUACACAAAUGCAAAAGCUAUGUAGUCCAGAUUUUGCAGUCCAGACAAGUUUUGAAAGGGAUCGUAUUACUGUUCGUUAUUUUUCCUUGAUGUCCAUAAUAAAUAAAGUUCAAAUAGAUUUGUA